UACGUACCGUCCAAACGUUAUCCGGAAUCACUGGGCUUAAAGAGUUCGUAGGCGGCUCAGAAAGUUGGGUGUGAAAUCCCUCGGCUCAACCGAGGAAUUGCGCUCAAAACUACUGAGCUAGAGGGAGAUAGAGGUGAGCGGAACUGAUGGUGGAGCGGUGAAAUGCGUUGAUAUCAUCAGGAACACCGGAGGCGAAGGCGGCUCACUGGGUCUUUCCUGACGCUGAGGAACGAAAGCUAGGGGAGCGAACGGG
rnacentral:rRNA from 1 species